AUCUGCUCCCGCAGCCGGGCGUUCAAAGCUGGCCUUGGACCGCAGGCAUCCCACCCAUCCGACGGGCGCUGCCGGUCCUUGUAGCAAAGAUUUAAACGAAGAAGCUGCUUACAAGCAGCACGAAACUCCUAAGCGUGGUAACCGUGAGAUUCGGCAGCGUUUUUGAAACGCUGCUUUACAAGCAUAUUUAUAAUCAGACCAGAUAGUCAGGCUCGUUUUGUGACCCUGUGCUAGUUACAGUAUUGCUCUUGACACGGUUUGAAGCUUGCUGUGUUGCAGUUUGACACUCGGAGCCUCGGGGAGGGCCAGAGCCAGUGACACAAAUGAUGAACGUUUCUUGGUCUUUAUUUGGAGCACAGGAUGGGAUAGAGUUACAUUAUCCUGGCAGGCAUCCAGAACUGAGACUGUCUUCUUUGUCUUUGCAGCCCUUUUUUGACAAAUAACAAUGCAAAAGGGUACACUAGUCUUUCCCAAAGGAUAGACUAGAAAUCCAUAAGGAUCUCCUUUGAGAUUGGCGUUGGUCCCAUGUCAGACAUGUUCCCACGUCAAAGUGACACAUGGACACAUUAUCACUUGGAAAAUGAGUUCCUGUAAUAUCAGCCUCAAGUCCUUCAGUUCCAGGAAAUUUGUCUCAUGAGGAUUAGACAUGCUGCCAUCUGCAAUACAGACAUUUCUAUCAGCGGAUAUGGCCAGGAAAACCUGCUGUUUUUCCAGAUUUGCUAGUGGAGAAUUGUUACCACUGUUUCUUUUGGUCUGCCUCACUUUCCUCUGUGGUAGAAACCAUCGCUGCUUGUUUACAGCUACAGAAGAGAACUCAGGUGGGAGCCUCUCCUGCUGUAAGGCGUCAUCUUCCUAUUGUAAUUUUUAAUCACAAACAUCAAAAGGAGCAAGUCAUCAAAAUUAUUUAAGAGGAAGUAGAAAGGUUUUACCUGCAGCAGCUCAAUAAGGAGAUGAGGAACUGUAGGAUACAAUGGGGUAGGAAAAGCUACCUAUUUGGGCAAAAAAACUAUUAUUACACACUAAUCUUCCUGAGAACCCAGAUUUCUGGAAGAGGUUGGC
rnacentral:lncRNA from 1 species